ACACAAACCCUAAAAACAAGUCCUUUAUUCCCACUAGGAAACUAAAAAUAAUAAUUAAAUAAAAUAGGAAACAUAAUCCUAAAUUAAAUAGUAAAAUUCGUCUAAAAUCUGAACAGUCAAGUUUUGGACCCAUAAGCUGCUCCAAAACUGGCCCAAUAUUGCUGGAUUUAAUGUUUGGAAUAUUUUGAACACUUCUCCAGAAGGCCACGAACUCAUCCGAGGUCAUCUUGGGCUCCAAAAAAACAAUUUAAUCCUAGAAACGUCAUUUUCCAACACCGCGUAUCGCUCAUUUAUUUUAUCGCCAGAAAAUAACCGCUUGGUGGAAAAAUCCCAAAUUUUGAUACGAUCAAGCUAAGUGACUCACGAACGUCCUCCAACUAGAAUUACUUGAAAAUUCGUCCAUUUGGUCAUGUUUUGCUCCAGAGGAAGUCGAAAGUCCUAUAUUGAAAAUACAAUUCAAAGUAUCAAAAUUCUUCCAAAAUAUUAACCAAAAUAUACUAAGAUUAGGGUAAAAUAUAUAAUAUAAAAUCUACUCAUAUCAUCGAUCUUCCAUAUUUUUCAACUGAGAUAACAACACCAUCAAGUCCUUUUGCUCUAUCUCUUGCAAAGCAUCCGAGUGCUAUCGGUGCCAAAAUGUAUGGGGCUUUCUGGUGUUCACACUGUGUUGAACAAAAAUAGAUGUUUGGAAGUGAGGCAGCGAAGCUGUUGAAUUAUGUAGAGUGCUUCCCUGGUGGAUUUAGGAAAGGAACUAUAAUGCAAAAGGAAUGCUUUGAUGUCGAAAUUGAAGGUUUUCCUACAUGGGUGAUUAAUGGGCAGGUUUUGAGUGGAGAAAAAGAGUUGACGGAGCUUGCGCAGGAAUCUGGGUUUGAUUUGAAAGAAUUCAGUCAGCCUCUGUAGAUUCAGCCAUGGCGUUUUGCAUGGCAUCACACGUAAAGAUGAUAGAAAAAUUCUGGUAUUAUUUACAUACCCCGAUCAUAUAUAUCUUGUACAAUUGUUGCCUGUAUUGAUUAUGAUUAGUAGACCAAAGAAGCUGGUUUUUUCUAAUUUGCAAGUUUCAAGACUCUUCAAAUAUAUUCUUCCCCAAA
rnacentral:sRNA from 1 species